rnacentral:lncRNA from 10 species
GCGUCUUGACGGCUGCUCCCCUCCUUUCCUCCCGCCACAAGCGCUCGCUGUGGUUCUGGCAGCGAAGUGCGAGACUGGGCUCGCCAGGCGGAAGUGGUUGGAGACUGCGUGUUUUCCUAGAAAGUCCUCGACCUUCGUCGGGGAGAGGAGGGGAGUGAUAAAUUGGAAGGCGGACAAGCGACAAGUGCGGUACUGGAAAGACCCAAACAUACUUGGUUGUGACCUCAGGUCACAUCUCCCAAGAAGCAGUAAUGUUCCAGCAAUAAGAAAAGGACAGUUUUUUGUCUUUUGCAUGGUGAGCCUUAUAUGAAUUACAUCAAUUUUGUCACCAAUAUCCAUCAUCAGAACAUUUUGCCUACUCACUGUGAAGACAAUAAGGAUGAAGACCUUUAUGACAAUCCACUUCCACUUAAUGAAUAAUGAGGAAACUGGGGCACAGAGAAAUUAAGUGACUUGUCCAGGAGGACAGGGCCAAUAACCGGUGGAACCAUAAGAAAAAAAUCCAGUAACAGCUUUGAAAAAGGAAGAUAACAAUGACCUGUGUGUACAGCGUCCAAGGGAACCAUUAGCAGUGGAGCUCCCCAGGCUCCUGGGACGACCAAGCACAUGGUCCAACCAACCAUCUUCUGACAAGAUCCUGGAGCUUCAGUGUGGGUUAGAGGGAAUUACUCCGCAGCAUCUGAAAAGCCAGCUCACAGGUGGGCCGCUGGGGCGAUUUGGCAGGGCCUGCUUGUAAACACUGGCUAUCAACUCCUUUACAAGGUAAGCCAACCAGGGGCAAGUUAACUCGCUUUACUCUUCUCCGGGUUUAAUAGAAGGUGGGUAUACUUUUAUAAGAACCCAAUAAUCUAAAUAUUUCACACGUAGACAAGAAAACUAGAAAGCCCCAAGAGAACCGAAAGAGUAUUUUAUUAAUAACUAUUUAUGUGUAGUAGCUACUUAAAUUCAUGUUUCACUACCUAUUUUUUUUUUUUUUAGACGGAGUCUCACUCUGUUGUCCAGGCUGGAGUGCAGUGGCGCAUCCUGGCUCACUGCAAGCUCCACCUCCCGGAUUCACGCCAUUCUCCUGCCUCAGCCUCCCAAGUAGCUGGGACUACAGGAACCUGCCACUACACCCAGGUAAUUUUUUUCUAUUUUUAGUAGAGACGGGGGUUUCACCGUGUUAGCCAGGAUGGUCUCGAUCUCCUGACCUCGUGAUCUGCCCGCCUCGGCCUCCCAAAGUGCUGGGAUUACAUGCAUGAGCCACUGCGCCCGGCCUCACUACCUAUGUAUUUUCUAAAGGGUCAGAUAGACUUAGGUGUAGGUUGGCCCGAGAAAAUGCAGGGUUCCCAGUUAAAUUUGAAUUUCAAAUACACAAUGAAUAAUUUUUUAGUAUAUUCCAAAUAAUGAUAGGGCAUACUUUUAUUCAUUGUUCAUCGACACUGAGUCCAUUAACCAGCUGGUUUAUUUAUUUAUUAUUAUUUUUCCCCUUGCUUCAUUCUUUUCUGACCUUCUGUGGCUUAAUUUUAGGACUCCUAUUAGAGGGUGGAGGGAGAAAUACAACUCACACGCAUCGGGUGUCCUACUUAUCAUUAGCUGAGGCACAAGUUUUGGGAGGGGAGGGAUUUGCUACUUUGAGCUAAAAAUGGUGAUUAUCUGCAUUCUCUCUAUUACCAUAUGGACAGAAUUAGCCAUAGACUGAUAUUUUCCAGAGACUGGAUUUUGCAGGCCAGUAAAAUCCAAAAAGAAAAGAAAAGAAAAGGAAAUUGGGAAAUUGUGAGAAGAUCAAUAUACUGUUGCCAAGUUUAAAUUUGAUCAAAAAAGGGUGUUUAAAAAAACCCCACAGCUACCAUCUUCAAUUACCAUUAAUUCAUAAAAGAAAGCAACAUUUCAAUACCCCAAAAGUAGGAAGGACACUCUCUUCUUUAUUUCUUAAAUAAAGUUGGCAGCUUUACAAUGGAUUGCCCUCAUUUUUGUGGAAACUUCAUCACAAUCUGGUGCUGGCUCUGAGAUCUGAGAAUAUGCAGACCAGGUCAUGCCACAGCAGCACCUAUAAAGUGACAGCAGCAAUGCUGCACUUUUCACAGGUUUGUGUUGGUAGCAGAUAACCACAGAGCACCUUGCAGUAAAGGAAGGAGAAGGUGAACGUGUGCCAGUUCGAAUUCUGAUGAUCUUAAAUUAAUAUUUAAUUUAAGCAUUUUAUUUCUGAGAUGUAUAUUAUUUGUGUGGAAGCAUAGUGUGAUUUUUCUCAAACCACAAAGCAUUUCUUUAACUUAUAAUAUAUAGAAAACGUUUUUCCAAACUUCCUUUGGAGCACAGCUCAAUCUCUGAACUUUUCUUCCCUAUCUCUAUAAAAUGAAUGCUUCAGGAACUGGAUAAUGUGACGCUGAACUUAAAUAGCCCCCUUCCUAAGAGAGUUCAGAGGUCUUUGAAAAUACAGGUAAUUGAGCCUCCUGGUUCCUGAGAGCUGGCAGAAUGUGUGACCUCAGCUGAGAAGAGUUGGGUAUUUGCCAAAAGGCAGGUGUAGUUGGUAGCAGUGCUCAGAGACCAAGUCCCCAAGUUCAGAUUUUCUAUCCCUCUUCCCAUUGUAUACAAGGGAAAACUAUGGUGUGAAAGUGGAUGAUUGCCUGAAAUUGCUGAGUAAUUAAAAGGAACCAUGAUGAAAAUAAACUGCCCAGCCCAAAUAUCAUAUGUAGUUUCUUUUAUCUUCCUCCAACCUGAGAAAUGUAUAUAAAGGUAUUUUUACCAGGGAAAUCCUUCUUUAAAUAGGGUUGAAACUCAAUUUCAUAUGCUGCAGAGAGAUGCAAGGUAUUAUGUACCAAUGAUCCCUAAAUAUUCUUUUCUUCUUCACAUGGCUGUGAAGUUACAAACUGAGUAUCCUUUUCAACGGCUUGUUGAAGCAAAGAAUUAAAUAUACAUGUACAGACUAAAAUAUAUGUUAGUAUAUUCUUUAGAAAUAUGAAGAAUACCCCCAGCUUUUCACAGUGAUAAUCUCUGGGUGGGGUCUUUUUAAUAUUAUGUUUUUCUGUAAUGAUGGAGUUUUAAAAUAAUUGUAAUUGUCUAUUACUUUUAGAAUACGUAAAAAAGAUACACAGCAUGCACAUUCUCAUUAAAAAUCACUUCAACCUGGACUUUUGGGAUGUCCUUUAAAGUCACCUAGUACUUGCACUUUCCCACAGUCCUCUGUCCAGCCUCUCUCAGUGACCUGAGACAUUCAGUGCCACUUGUGUAUUCCAGACAUUUGUCUUUCUGAGAGAAGCAGUGCUACCACUUUUUUUUUUUUUUUCUUUUUUUUGAGCCAGAGUCUCGCUCUGUUGCCAGGCUGGAGCACUGAGACACAAUCUCGGCUCACUGCAACCUCCCCCUCCCGGGUUCAAGCGAUUCUCCUGCCUCAGCCUCUGGAGUAGCUGGGACUACAGGCGCCCGCCACCACGCCCGGCUAAUUUUUGUGUUUUUAGUAGAGACAGGGUUUCACCAUGUUGGCCAGGCUGGUCUCAAUCUCUUGAGCUCGUGAUCCACCUGCCUUGGCGUUCCAAAGUGCUGGGAUUACAAGCUUGAGCCACCGCACCUGGCCCACUUUUUUACCUUCUCAAAACCCCAACUCUCCUGUAAUUCCUGAAGCCCAGGUAAUUUUCCCCCUAGCCCCAUUGAAUACUGGCUUGUUUUCAUUUCUCUCUCUUUGUCUUUUGCCUUACUAAUUCUGAUGUGAUUGUUUUUUCAGCCUCAACUGAAUAGCAGAGAGAUUUUGGCUUUCAUUCCAGAAUGAUGUCUCACAGAAAGUCAACUCGUGUUCCAGGUAUGUGAUAAACAUCUCACUAGUGAACUUCUUGCUGUUUCUAAGCGAUUAACGGUUUGGUUAGCAAGCCCAGAGCCCUGCAGAUACCUUUUGCCUCCUACACAAGAAGUAAGCUAAUGAAACCCACGGAGCACGGCCUGCCCCUCUGCUUCCCUUUAAUGGUUUCUGUCACCCAGGCCAGGCUGCCGCCACCAUGACUCUGCACAUCGAUGUGCCGCCUCAGGGCAAGCAGAAUGCAAAUGACGGUGGCCCUCAAAUUGCAAUUUAAGGAUAGCUGUUAUAUCUUCCCAUAUAUUUCUCUUCCUAACCUCCAAAUUUGAGGAUAAUGUGCUGUUUUAACUUAUUCUUAGUAGGAAGAAUGUUAAACCUUAGGGUGAUGGUAGUGUAUUGCUGAAUUCUGUGUUUUGGAAUAAAUUAGAUUUUUUUGAUGUGGAGAAGGGAGAAAGGGGGAGAACUAAAUGCAAAGAUAAUUUGAUUUUAAAAGCUGGAGUUUCCUGGUUCCUGGGUUCUAGAUAUUUAAAAAAUAGCCACAAUUAAUUAUGUAAUAAAUUGUAGGAGGUUGUCAAGUUGUCAUCUUUAUUAAGGUGUUUCUUGCCAGACAUAUUCAAAAUCUGUGUACUCAGAUGUUAACUGCAUUUGACUCUAUUGAUUAAAAUAUACUUUCUGCCAUCAAAAUGGAACUCCAAGAUGUAAAGGGAAAGAACACUUUAAAAGGCGUUUCCAAAGUCGUCUUGGAUAGAGGAGCUUUCAUCCAAGGGUGCUAUGUGGCAUUCCGGAAAUGAAUCAGAGACUUGGGCCCUCCACUUCCUUAGAAACAGAGACACGCUGAAGAUCGUUAGGGUAAAUGAGUGGGACAAAGUACACUCUGCAUUUUCUUUUUAAUUUCAACUAAAAAAAAUGCUGCACUCUUGUCUUGGCUGGAGAAACAUCCUCAGCCUGUUCAUCUCCUAUCCUCUGCCCAAAUCAACUCCAAAUUUGACUGACUGAAUUUUCAGUUCCUAUAUUUUCAGAUCAGUUCCUGUAUUUUCAGAUCUGGCUCUCUCUGUGGUUGUGGUGGUAGCAGUGGUAGUGGUUAUGGAGUCUGUAAGACUUGCCAUUUUUAAAAUGCCGAAAGCUCUCUUCAGGUUAAAUAGUCUCUCUGUGUGAUUCUCAAAUGAACUCCUUGAGGAAGAAUGUUCUGUGUGUAUCUAGAAACCUUAGUUCUACAAGAAUGAGAGCUAAAGAAGCUCACCCAUGUCCCACAGAAACCACUUCUUCCCUUUCCUGAACAAGAAACCGAUGUUCUUCAUCUACUGUCUGUCCACCCAGGCUUGGAAGACAGGUGAAAACAAUCCCAUCUUUCUAUUCCUAGAAAGAGGUAGGGAUGUGAUGCUUACAUUCCCCUGGCUUUUACUUGCAUCAAAUGUGGGAGGAAGGAAUAAAAGAGAAGAGGAAACUAAAACCUGAGAAAGGGCAAGAAGAGAAAGUAUUAGGUUGAUGCAAAAGUAAUUGUGGUUUUUGCAAUUACUUUUAAUAGCGAAUCCCCGCCCCCCAAAAUCAUCUAGCAAUCUGCCCUCUGGAGUGAACUUGAAUAAAAGUAGGUAAUAGUACCACUCUUGGCUUAGAAGUAUCUGAUUAUCCCUACUAACCAGUACAAGACAUAGAUUUCUGAAGGAAAAGGAUGCCUACCAUUGGCUCUUUUUUGUUUUUGUAGUUUGAUUUUUCUUAUUUUUUAAAAGGUUCUAAAAAUAAUACAUAUAUACCUGGUAGAAAAUUUGAAACUUAGAAAGAAGUUAAAAGAAGCCUACAAAAUAUCACCGCAUCAUAUUAUCUUAUUAGCCAAAUGCAACCACCACUACCAUCCAGGGAGGGUUCUUGCCAGUAUUUUCUCUAUUUUUUCGUAUGCUUUUAAAAAUCUUCACAACUAAAAUCAUUCUGUGCACAGAAUUUCACAUACUACUUUU